AUUGAACGCUGCCGGCAGGCCUAACACAUGCAAGUCGAACGAGUGGCGGACGGGUGAGCAAUGUCUGGGAAACUGCCUGAUGGCGGGGGAUAACUACUGGAAACGGUAGCUAAUACCGCAUACCAUCGGAUGUGCCCAGAUGGGAUUAGCUAGUAGGUGGGGUAAAGGCUUACCUAGGCCACGAUCCCUAGCUGUUCUGAGAGGAUGACCGGCCACACGGGAACUGCGAAACGGUCCAGACUCCUACGGGAGGCAGCAGUGGGGAAUAUUGCGCAAUGGGCGGAAGCCUUAUGGAGCCAUGCCGCGUGUGUGAAGAAGGCCUUCGGGUUGUAAAGCACUUUCAUCAGGGAAGCGGUACCCACAGAAGAAGCAACGGCUAACUCCGUGCCAGCCGCCGCGGUAAUAC
rnacentral:rRNA from 1 species